GGGGUGGAUCAGGCAGGAAACAAUGACAUCAACAGUGGCUUAGCAUACAGGUGUGGAUCAGGAUUAUUGUCAAUCAUAAGAAAGCAGUUUGGGAAUGCUAUUCUGAAUGAGUUAUGUGGCUCAGAAUCUGUCUUAGGAAAACAAGCUUGUAUAGGAGAGCACAAGGAUAAAAUGCUUGUUCUUUACAGAGAAGAACUUGUUUAGACUUCCUAUGAUUUUACCACAGUGACUGAAACCUAACAUAUAUGAGUUCUUAUAUUUAGUGCAGUUGUCCAUUGAACAACAUGGGUGUGAACUGUAUUGGUCCAUUUAUACUUAGAUUAUUUUUAAACCAAACAUGAAUUGAAAAUACAAUGUUAAUGGGAUGUGCAACCUGCAUAUAUGGAGGGCUGACUUUUCCUAUAGGUGAGUUCCACAGGAAUAUGAGUAUGUGCUGAUUUUGGUAUAUGCAGGGGUGUUCAGUCAGUGCCCUGCUUAUACUGAGGGACAACUGUAUACUGUAUUUAUUUUGUGGGUUUGACCUAUAAUAGUAGGGAGUAUGAUUCCAGAUAGUUUAACAGAUUUUUUAAAAAUUGUGAACCCUAGUGAUCAAUAUUUGUCGGAUAGAUCUUUUCUUGAUAGGCCAUGUGAUUAGUAGAAGGAAAUGAUAAUACCCUAAUUUAAUGAAAUAUCUGAAUUGAAAGGAGAACAUGUUACUAUUUCUAGCGUACAUGGGUAGGAGUAGAAUAAAGUGCACAGUUCCAGGUGGUUUUCCUUCUCUUCUAAGCACAUUGAGGCUUGUCCUCUAACUGUUGUAUAAGAGACAUUAAAUGUGGUAAUUAUGCUAUUGAGGAAUUUAAAAUUUUUGUUUUGGUUGACAUAGUAAAACUUUAGCUGGGAUUAUAAGAAAUAGUCCUAGACAGUUUUUAUCUCAAACAGAUUAUUUGAACAAGACUUGUUUCAUAGAGAUUUUUUUUUUUUAAGUAUGGAGUUUGGUUUCAUUCAGUGCUUGCUUAGAGUAUUUUUUGAGCAUCUGAUAUGUGCCAGAUACUUCUAGGUACUUUAUGCCUUUUAUUUUAUUUAAUCUUCAUGGGAGCUUUAAAAGAAAGGUAUUGGUAUUUUCAUUUUUAAAAGGUGAGGACAUUGAGGCUUUCUUUACCAAACAGAGUAACCACCCCUCCCAUCUUCCUUAAAAAAUAUACCAAUUGAUGAUCACAACUUACUGAUCAUUGUGUCCAGUCCAUUAUACUCUAGUAUGCUUUCAUACUUCUGCUUCAAUCAUAUGAGUUGUACCCUUACCAAGAGCCAAUUUUAUUGGUUCCCAAACUUCUUAAUAAUUACUUAUUUAAAAUUAAGCAGAUGGAUUCAUAAAGAAGAUUAUCUUAUGAAAGCUGAGUGGAAUGUUUGGAAAGACCCAAAGACAAGGAGAUACAAAACUUGCUAUUGAAUUAGGUGUAAAUAAGACAACAUUAAUAAAUUGGAGAAAAAUCUGUAUGACUCUGAAUUUAUUUCUUUGCAAAUACAUUGGUUUUUGUUACACUUUAAAGUUGAGGUCCCCAACCUUUUUGGCACCAGGGAUUGAUUUUGUGGAAGAAAUUUUUCUGUGGAUGGUGGGGGUUGCAGGGGAUAGUUUUGGGAUGAAACUAUUCCACCUCAGAUCAUCAGGCAUUAGAUUCUCAUAAGGAGCACGCCAUCUGGAUCCCUUGCAUAGUUCACAACAGGGUUCAUGGCGCCUGUGAAAAUCUAAUGUGACCUGAUCUGGCAGGAGGCGGAGCUCAGGCCGUAAUGGUUCCUACCCACUGCUCACCCCCUGCUGUGCAGCCUGGUUCCUAAUAGGCCACAGAGUAGUAGCCAUCCGUGGCCCAGGGGUUGUGGACCCCUGCUUUAAAGAAACAAGGUAAGUACCGUGGAGAAUGUGUUAUAAGUAUGGCUCAGGCAAGAAAGGCAAAGUGGAAAACUAAUCCAAGGACCCAUACUCAGAAAAGCGUUUUCUUUGUUUUUUGUUUUUCUGAGACAGAGUCUUGCUGUGUCAGCCAAGCUGGUAGG